GUUUAGCCCCGAUAGUAGUGAAAAUCCCUUUGUGUCGGGGUUCGACACAAAAGAUUGCAACGAAUAGCGGGACAACUG
rnacentral:sRNA from 1 species